UUUUAUUUUUUUUCUAAACCAUUUUUGUCUACAAAACCCAUAUGUAAAUGUACAUCACAGGACAUGACAGCCUGCCAAAGGCUUGAAAAUCUUUUUAACACCUGGCCAAAGGUUAACCUCUACCAAAGAGGAAAUUGUGCACAAUACUGCCUGCUAAAGGCGUUCCUCCAACCCGUGGAGUAAUAGAAGUCUACCAAAGACUUAAAAUACCAUGUCUACCAAAGACAUUAUCCUGUGAAAAUCCCCUUUAAAAAUUUAAAUAGUGAAAAUCCCCAUUAAAACAAGAAAUGCAAUGUGUGGGAGUAUGGCAGAAGCAGGCAAAGGUCCCCAAC